UUAAUUAAUAAAAUAGUUUAUUAUAAAGUUUAGAGUGUUACAAUUUAUAUCCUCUAAAUUUAAUUUCCUCUAAAUUUAAUUUAUUAAGUCCGUAUACAAGCUGGUUAUUCCUAAUUGAGCUGCUGAGAUUAUUUGAAUGCAUUGAAUCUCGGAUAAUUUUAUCUAUUGCAAGAGUGAUUGGUGCAUUUAUGUGAAAUAUUUCUCGAGGCUUGAUUUGGUAAAUUUGACACAAGGGUGAAACAGUAAUUCCAAAAUUAGAUUAAAUAAGAUAGAAUGAACCAUUCUUUACCAAUUGCCCCUUUAGAACUGACAGUGUGGCAUCUUUGUUCAUAUCAUAUUUCAUAUAUAAUAUGAACAAGAAAAAUGGUGAUUACAGAUUUUGACUUUAUUCACAGAUUAUCUACGGAUACGAGUCUAUAGAUAAAUCGCUCGUAGGUAAAAUAUUAUCUUCGAAAAAUUCAUGGGUUAUGUUUACUCGUAGGAUUUCUGUAGGUAAUUUAUCGAGGAAAUGACAUAGAUAAAUUUAGCCACAAAAAUGUCAUGGCUAAGUCAAGUAACUUUUCCCAUGGCAUUUCCGUGGGUAUGUCAUACUAGAAAAAAAAAAAUUAAAAGAUCUAAUACACGUCUUCAUCCAACUUACAUCAACUAAACAACAAUAAACAAAAAUAUCACAAUUUACAUGUUAAAUAUUACCUCUUCAUAUAUAUGACUAACACAAUGAAAUUCAAAUGUCUUAAUAAAAUUUAAAAACAAGUAAACUACAAUAUUACUUUAAAAAAAAGCAUUUUUUUUUUGUGUUUGACACUUGUUUCAUUACUAACCAAUUCAAGUUUAUUAAUCAGAAACAAAAUAUACACAAUUACAAGAAAACUUAUGUCCUAGCCUCAACUACCUGAUCUUUGUAAAUAAUGUUCUCACUGUUAAUGAUUCAAUUACAAUUGUAGACUUUCCCUAAAAGUGUAAGGUGAUAUGGAGAAGAACAUCUAUAUCAAUAAAUUUGGUAGCAAAAACUUUGAUACAUUGACUAAGAUAAUAACACCAACUCAAGAUCUUGAAAGAACCACUAGAUUAAAUGCUAUUUAAUUAACAUGAACUGAAGAGUAAUGCAAAAAACAUACCUCUUUAAUACAAUCAAGUAUGACAAAAUCUCUUCACUUUCAGACUUCUGGCCAUUUUCGUUGUUACUAUAAUAUUUCUGACCUCCAAAUUAAGUGGGAAAACAAUCCAUAUGUUCAGAAUUAACUUGAGAAAUCACAAGCAGUACAACAAAUUAUUUUCGAAGAGUUUCCUUAAUGAAAAUUGAAGCAAAGCCAAAAUGUUGGAGAGGAGAGGGUGAGAGAAUCACAUUUAAUAAACUAGAUUAUAUAAUUUUUAACCACUUACUAUUAAUGAAUUCCCUCUGGUAACUACAAACAGACCAAUGUGUUUCUUGGAAUAUUAGAAUUUUCAUGUAUGGCAGUAUAUUUUUCCAGUAAAGUUUACCCUGUACUUCACAAAAAUAAAGAGGCC
rnacentral:lncRNA from 1 species